AAGACUAUAGACCUGCGGAGUACCUGCGGAAGGAUCAUUAUCGUAUUGUAACAAUUGGGGGGGCCACCGUGGGCUGUCGCUGACCCUUUGAAAGGGGGGUCGUGCACGCCCCCAUAGUGUCAUCCUCAUACAAUCCAACUCACCUCUGUGCAUCACCGCGUGGGUUCCUUUCUGGGUCGAGUCAGACUGGCACAGAAAAAAGGGGCUUGCGUUUUCCAUACAAAUACCCUUAUAAAUCCA
rnacentral:misc_RNA from 1 species